UACGUAGGGGGCUAGCGUUGUCCGGAUUUAUUGGGCGUAAAGAGCGUGUAGGCGGCCAGGUAGGUCUGCUGUGAAAACUCGAGGCUCAACCUCGAGACGUCGGCGGAAACCAUCUGGCUAGAGUCCGGAAGAGGAGAGUGGAAUUCCUGGUGUAGCGGUGAAAUGCGCAGAUAUCAGGAAGAACACCCGUGGCGAAGGCGGCUCUCUGGGACGGUACUGACGCUGAGACGCGAAAGCUAGGGGAGCAAACGGG
rnacentral:rRNA from 1 species